GGCUGCGCGGGGCUGAGGCGGCCUCGAUUUGGGAACUGCCUGAAGAUGCCAGCCUAAGCCUGGAUCCCAGGCAUGGACUUCCCCACAAUUUCCCGAUCCCCUUCGAGGCCUCCAGCCAUGGACUUGGAGGGGCCCAGGGACAUUCUUGUGCCCUCCGAGGACCUCACCCCUGACAGCCAGUGGGACCCUGUGCCAGGAGGCCCCGGCAGCCUCAGUCGGAUGGAACUUGAUGAGUCAAGCAUUCAGGAGCUGGUGCAGCAGUUUGAAGCUCUGCCGGGCGAUCUGGUGGACCCAUCCCCAGAUGGAGCCCCCUGUCCCCUACACAUUGCCACAGGCCACGGCCUGGCCUCCCAGGAAAUUGCUGAUGCCCACGGGCUCCUGUCUGCCGAAGCUGGCCGGGAUGACCUGCUGGGCCUCUUGCACUGUGAGGAAUGCCCGCCUUCCCAGACUGGUCCUGAAGAGCCUCUAGAGCCUGCCCCCCGACUGUUGCAGCCCCCUGAGGACCCAGAUGAGGAUUCUGACUCCCCAGAAUGGGCGGAGGGGGCCUCUGCUGAGCAGGAGGGCAGCAGGAGCUCAAGCAGUUCCCCGGAACCCUGGCUGGAGACAGUGCCUCUAGUCACACCUGAAGAGCCACCCGCUGGUGCCCAGGUAGUGCCCGCCCCGCCCUCCAGGUGUCCUGGACUGCCUGGAACCAAGCAGGGGGACUCAGUCGUGCCCCUCCUCUA
rnacentral:sRNA from 1 species